GGGGCGGUAACUCAAUGGUAGAGUCCUGGCCUUUUAAGCCAGUUGUUGAGGGUUCGAGCCCCUCCCGCCUCA
rnacentral:tRNA from 1 species